AAUUUUUGUACAAAAUGACAAGGCAAUCAGUGGUUAGUGACAUGUGACAAGCCUCAAAAGGGUAAAAAAAUACAAGAUGACCAUAUUUUAUAUUUUCUAACAUUCCGAACUCUGGUAUGCUCAUUUCUCCAAAAGUAACUCUAAAUCCAUGUUUUGGACAAUACAAGUUUAUUAUCGUGUUUUGGAUAGUUAAUUUUGGAGAACGAUUGUACACUAAAAAUUAAGUAAUAUUAAUUUGAGUUUAAAGGUUGACAAUUUGAUUAAAU
rnacentral:misc_RNA from 1 species